UACAGGGGGUGCAAACGUUGCUCGGAAUUACUGGGCGUAAAGCGCGCGUAGGCGGGCAGAGAAGUCCGGUGGGAAAGCCCACGGCUCAACCGUGGAAGAACGCUGGAAACUCUCUUUCUUGAGGGCGGCAGAGGGAAGUGGAAUUGCUGGUGUAGCGGUGAAAUGCGUAGAUAUCAGCAGGAACACCCGUGGCGAAGGCGGCUUCCUGGGCCGCCCCUGACGCUGAGGCGCGAAAGCGUGGGGAGCGAACGGG
rnacentral:rRNA from 1 species